CCCCCCGGGUGCGGCGGGAUCCGGGCAGCAGACAAAGCUCUGCACAGCGCGUCCUGCGAGGCUAAGGAGACUGGCAGGGGCAGGACGUCUUCUUCCAGGACACUGGUCAGACGCUGCCAGAACCGAGGCACGAAGACUUCUGUGGCAUCUGGUCUGCCCAAGGAAAGGACCCCCACGGUGCAUGGCUAAAUUCAACCAGGGCUAAACCCACAGCCAGAUCCCACCUUGCGGCCACUGAGGUCGCUGGCCUGGGGCCCCCAGCCCCUCCAGGCGACCCGAGCUGCGACGGGCUGCACUCACCUCAGACUUGGUCCUCCUCUCCAGGAAGGGAGGCCAAGCUGUUCAGAAAACCACACCGUGCCGGGUGCUACCUGGGACUGGUCUCCUUCACCAGACAGGAACUCCCUUCUGGUGCCUCCACCUUCUAACCGAGAUGUGUCACCAUGACACUUAAUUACUGUUGUCCGGUGCUGCUAUUGCCGCGUGUGUCUCAUCAUGCAGCUGCACCGGCCAGUUCUACCCGGGCUGAGGGACUGGCCCCAGCCUCCAAAUGCGAGCCGGACUCUGCCGGUGACCCAUAAAAGCGAAGAAAAUCGAAACGCAGCAGCAGAAGUGGGGGAAAGGGGCAUUUGUCCGUACACACGACGUGGAGCAUCUAGAAAACCCGUUGUGCAGGUCAGGGGGGACCACCUGGGGUAAAAGUCAAACCAGUCCAUCCUCAUUCCUGCGAGCGCGCCAGGACGAUGCGGAUCCCAGGCUGGAAAAUGUUUCUUGUGUUACGUCUUUGACUGCAUCUUCUGUACGGGGCAGGGAGCCCGGGGGUCGGCGGUCCGGGAGCUCAGACUUCCUCCUUCAGGAAAAGCUGCCCGGAGCCACCUCCACGGCCCCCGGCCGGCGCCCUGUGCGGGUCUGAGCAGGUGGCCUCCACUGGAGAAGCGCGUGGGGAACGUGCCCCACGUAGAGAACAGGCGCCCACCCCCCCAAGGCCACCUUCUCGCCGGUG